rnacentral:rRNA from 1 species
GACGAACGCUGGCGGCGUGCCUAAUACAUGCAAGUUGAGCGCUGAAGGUUGGUACUUGUACCAACUGGAUGAGCAGCGCACGGGUGAGUAACGCGUGGGGAAUCUGCCUUUGAGCGGGGGACAACAUUUGGAAACGAAUGCUAAUACCGCAUAAAAACUUUAAACACAAGUUUUAAGUUUGAAAGAUGCAAUUGCAUCGCUCAAAGAUGAUCCCGCGUUGUAUUAGCUAGUUGGUGAGGUAAAGGCUCACCAAGGCGAUGAUACAUAGCCGACCUGAGAGGGUGGGCUGCCACCUUGGGACGGAGACACGGCCCAAACGCCUACGGGAGGCAGCAGUAGGGAAUCUGCGGCAAUGGACGAAAGUCUGACCGAGCAACGCCGCGUGAGUGAAGAAGGUUGUCGGAUCGUAAAACUCUGUUGGUAGAGAAGAACGUUGGUGAGAGUGGAAAGCUCAUCAAGUGACGGUAACUACCCAGAAAGGGACGGCUAACUACGUG